rnacentral:rRNA from 1 species
UGGUCAAGUUAUUAAGGGUGCAGGGCGGAUGCCUUGGCACUAGGAGCCGAUGAAGGACGUGAUAAGCUGCGAUAAGCUUCGGGGAGUUGCACGUAAACUUUGAUCCGAAGAUUUCCGAAUGAGGAAACUCACUUAGAGUAAUGUCUAAGUAUCAUUAAGUGAAUACAUAGCUUAAUGAGGGGAACUCAGGGAACUGAAACAUCUAAGUACCUGAAGGAAGAGAAAGAAAUUCGAUUCCGUAAGUAGCGGCGAGCGAACGCGGAUUAGCCCAAACCAAUAAAGUUUUCUUUAUUGGGGUUGCGGACAUAUCAUAACGAAGAGGUAUCGUAAUUGAAGAGGUUUGGAAAGACCCACCACAGAAGGUAAUAGUCCUGUAUGUUAAACGAGAAGACUUCAGAUAUGAUCCAGAGUACCACGGGACACGUGAAACCCUGUGGGAAGCAGGAGGGACCACCCUCCAAGGCUAAAUACUACCUAGUGACCGAUAGCGUAUAGUACCGUGAGGGAAAGGUGAAAAGAACCCCGGGAGGGGAGUGAAAUAGAACCUGAAACCCUGCACUUACAAGCUGUGGAAGCACAUUUCUUGUGUGACCGCGUACUUUUUGUAGAACGGGCCAACGAGUUACGUUAAGUAGCAAGGUUAAGCACUUAAGGUGCGGAGCCGUAGCGAAAGCGAGUUUUAACUGAGCGUUCAGUUACUUGACGUAGACCCGAAACCGGGCGACCUACCCAUGAGCAGGAUGAAGCGAAAGUAAAAUUUCGUGGAGGUCCGAACCCACGAGCGUUGAAAAGCUCGGGGAUGACUUGUGGGUAGCGGUGAAAUUCCAAUCGAGCCCGGAGAUAGCUGGUUCUCCCCGAAAUAGCUUUAGGGCUAGCCUCAAGGUGAGAGAUACGGAGGUAGAGCACUGAAUGUCCUAGGGGGUAUUGCACCUACCGAAGACUAUCAAACUCCGAAUGCCGUCAUCUUAUACUUGGGAGUCAGACUGUGGGUGAUAAGAUUCAUAGUCGAAAGGGCAACAGCCCAGAUCGUCAGCUAAGGUCCCUAAAUGUAAGUUAAGUGGUAAAGGAUGUGGGAUUGCACAGACAACCAGGAUGUUGGCUUAGAAGCAGCCACUCAUUCAAAGAGUGCGUAAUAGCUCACUGGUCGAGUGAUCCUGCGCCGAAGAUUUCCGGGGCUAAAACUUACUACCGAAGCUACGGCAUCAGUAAUGAUGGGUAGGGGAGCUUCCCAUACGGGUUGAAGCAUGACCGUAAGGACAUGUGGACAGUAUGGGAGUGAGAAUGUUGGCAUGAGUAGCGAGAUGUGGGUGAGAAUCCCACAGGCCGUAAACCCAAGGUUUCCAGGGGAAGGUUCGUCCGCCCUGGGUUAGUCGGGACCUAAGCUGAGGCCGAAAGGCGUAGGUGAUGGACAACAGGUUGAUAUUCCUGUACUACCGAUAACCGUUUGAGAGAAGGGAUGACACAGUAGGAUAAGCUAAGCACACUGUUGGUUAUGUGUGCCCAAGCAUUGAGGCGGUCAAAGUAGGCAAAUCCGCUUUGAUAAUGCUGGGAUGUGAUGGGGAGCGAAAUUUAGUAGCGAAGUAGCUGAUUUCACACUGUCAAGAAAAGUCUCUAUCGAGGUUAAAGGUACCCGUACCGCAAACCGACACAGGUGGGUGAGGAGAGUAUCCUAAGGCCAGCGAGAGAACUGUUGUUAAGGAACUCGGCAAAAUGACCCCGUAACUUAGGGAUAAGGGGUGCCACCAUCAGGUGGCCGCAGAGAAUAGGCCCAAGCGACUGUUUACCAAAAACAUAGGUUUCUGCUAAGUCGCAAGACGAUGUAUAGGAGCUGACGCCUGCCCGGUGCUGGAAGGUUAAGGGGAUCUGUUAGAGCAAUCGAAGCAGUGAACUUAAGCCCCAGUAAACGGCGGCCGUAACUAUAACGGUCCUAAGGUAGCGAAAUUCCUUGUCGGGUAAGUUCCGACCCGCACGAAAGGCGUAACGAUUUGGGCACUGUCUCAACAACAGACUCGGUGAAAUUGUAAUUCCGGUGAAGAUGCCGGAUACCUGCGACAGGACGGAAAGACCCCAUGGAGCUUUACUGUAGCUUGACAUUGGGUCUUGGUACUACAUGUACAGGAUAGGUGGGAGGCUUUGAAACCAGGACGCCAGUUUUGGCGGAGCCAUCCUUGGGAUACCACCCUUGUAGUACUGGGACUCUAACCAUAGGCCAUGAAUCUGGUCUUGGGACACUGUCAGGUGGGCAGUUUGACUGGGGCGGUCGCCUCCCAAAAGGUAACGGAGGCGCUCAAAGGUUCUCUCAGUACGGUCGGAAAUCGUACGUAGAGUGUAAAGGCAAAAGAGAGCUUGAUUGCAAGACAUACAGGUCGAGCAAGGAUGAAAAUCGGACUUAGUGAUCCGGUGGUUCUGCGUGGAAGGGCCAUCGCUCAACGGAUAAAAGCUACCCUGGGGAUAACAGGCUUAUCUCCCCCAAGAGUCCACAUCGACGGGGAGGUUUGGCACCUCGAUGUCGGCUCAUCACAUCCUGGGGCUGUAGUAGGUCCCAAGGGUUGGGCUGUUCGCCCAUUAAAGUGGUACGCGAGCUGGGUUCAGAACGUCGUGAGACAGUUCGGUCCCUAUCCGUCGCAGGCGUAGGAAAUUUGAGAAGACCUGUCCUUAGUACGAGAGGACCGGGAUGGACGUACCUCUGGUGUACCAGUUGUCCUGCCAAGGGCAUGGCUGGGUAGCUAUGUACGGAAUGGAUAAGCGCUGAAAGCAUCUAAGCGCGAAGCCAACUUCAAGAUAAGAUUUCCCACCGCAAGGGUAAGACCCCAGAAAGACUAUCUGGUUGAUAGGUCGAAGGUGUAAGUGCAGUAAUGUAUUUAGCUUAUCGAUACUAAUAGGUCGAGGACUUGACCAAU